UACGAAGGGGGCUAGCGUUGCUCGGAAUCACUGGGCGUAAAGCGCACGUAGGCGGAUUGUUAAGUCAGGGGUGAAAUCCUGGAGCUCAACUCCAGAACUGCCUUUGAUACUGAGAAGCUUGAGUCCGGGAGAGGUGAGUGGAACUGCGAGUGUAGAGGUGAAAUUCGUCAUAUUCGCAAGAACACCAGUGGCGAAGGCGGCUCACUGGCCCGGUACUGACGCUUAGGUGCGAAAGCGUGGGGAGCAAACAGG
rnacentral:rRNA from 1 species